AGCCACAUUAUGUAAUUCCGUGAUUUUUUUUAAGAAAAAAAUGAAGAACAUUUAUGAUUAAUUUAUGGUUAGUUUAAUAAAAAGCUUAUUAUAUAUUUAUAUGCACCAACAUAUUUUUCUAAGGAUUCUAAGAAUGAUUGUGGUGAUGACAUGUGGCUACAAAAAUAUGUUGUAAUGCUUCUCUUUUAACAUAUAGGGGAUAUGGUGAUAAAUGUUAAUCGUUUCAAAAUUAAUCAAUCUUUUCAUUUUAAAAGUAUCAUCAUAGUCAAUUUCCUAUGUUAUUACUCAAAGAGGUCAACAUAAUGGCUUGUAAACUUAGCGUCCAAAACAAGAAACUCUUGUUCCUCCUGUUUUGUUUGAUCUUAUUUGAUGUUUGUUUCGCUUAUCAAUAAAACAUAAAACACUUCUAAAUCAAACAAUAAUAAAAGGGGAAUAUGCUCAAUGGAGAGGGAUGCCACAUCAGAUUAAAAAAUCAACCAAUAGAGAAGUUCGUUUUUGCCAGGUCAGCUCAGCUGAACUAGAAAUGGUAUUUCGAGUGGGCUAUGUAAAAAAUAUAAUCCAGUCCAUUCCCAGCCCAAAACCUAUUUCCUGUCAAGUUUCACGGUUCUCUCCCCCUCGACUCUUUCACGGUUCUCUCCCCUCGACUCUUUCACUUCGUCUUCCCCAACCUAUGAUUUCUUGCUUUACCUAAAACCACUCAUAAUCAUCAAUGAUAAUCUUUAAAAUUACAAUUGGCCUUUAUUAAUAGAUUGGAAGAUUCGUACGGUAAUUCUCCUCUUUCUCCCCUAUGCUUUUGUACGUUUAUGUUUUUGUGUAGAUGUCUCUUUGGAAAUAGAUGUUUUUUGUUGUCUGAACGUAUUUGAUUCUUGGCAGAGAUUUUUGUUAUGUUCUUUCUGAGAUUUAUUAUUGCUGACGAAAUAAGGCUGUGUGAGCUCUUUCUGUAAGGGAUUGAGAGAGGAGACAAUUCAGUGGAAACACUAAUAUGUUGUGUAAUUUAGAACACUAAAUCACUUUUAUUCUAUGCUUGGUGGUGAUGUUCUGUCGUGUUUCCUUUGGUUCUCAGUUACUUAUUGUUUCUAAUUCAGGAACUGGAUUCCCAUCCAUAAGGGGGCUUCGAGGUCAGAAGGCCCGUUAUCUUCGAGGUUAGCCAAAAUGAUGAUUGAUUACGUAUAGGUGUUGACACAAUAGGUUCCAUUCUGACUAAUCUGAAUCUAGCCAAAAUGAUGAUUAAUACAAACGUCGUUUAUUAUUAUUUUUUCAGAUGUUUCCCGGUGGGCAAAUGACAAAGAUGCAAACUGUUACGUCUUGGCUAUGAUAUUCUAUUCAUCCUUAGUUUCUUUUUCCCUCAAAAUUUUCAUUUUUACACCUCUGCUGUUUAAAAGAGAUCGAGGAGGUCAAGUUCUGUUUGCUUCAAGCUAAUGAAUGUUUACUUGCUUUGGUGCAGGUCAAGCCUGAAGUAGUUAUUUGGUUGCCUCGAAUUAUUGUGCUUCACAACUUUCUAAGCUCAGAUGAAUGUGAAUACUUAAAAGCAAUCGCCCGACCUCGCCUUCAGGUUUCCACUGUUGUUGAUAUAAAAACUGGAAAGUUAAAAGUGAUGUGAGGAUAAGCUCUGGAGUAAUGGAGACUGGCACCGAGUAAGCAAAGGGAGGCUCCAAAGCAGAUUCUUGAUCUUUACAACACAAGAGCUGAUCUAAGGAAGAAAGAUCACUUAGCAAUCGAUAAGUACCCACUGCAUGGACUGAGGUCAUUAGCUGUUGCAAGACAGACUGUACCUGAGAAAACCAAAAAAAAAAAAAAAGCUCUGGUGAUCCAUGGGAAUUCGUUGGUGGGUUGCCUUUGUUUGAUCCUCCACGACAUGAUAGUGCAUACACCAUUAGAAGAGCUUCAGACCUCUGUGUCAACAUCAGUGAUUACUGGUGAUCAACUUGCUAUUUCCAGUGAGACUCGACUUAGCUCGGUAUGGGAUCAAACAUGUAUCCAUACCAUCAGCUUCUCUACUUGGAUAAGAAAGCCAUCCGAGAGAGUUUAGGCAACCAAGUGAUGUUUUUUCUAAUCUCUUGAUUCCAAGUAAUUUUUAAGUAUUUAUAAAUUCUUGAAAGCAAACCCCUCAGACAAAGUUAUCCUAAUAUUUUAAAAUUGUUCACUGCAGACUCUGAGCCAUAACAUUCAGCAAGAAUACAUAGAAGUUGUAGAGAGUUGUGUGUUUACAGGUUUUGAAUAGUGAAUAUGUCUAACAACUCAACUGUUCCCAGUAAUGAUUUAUCUGAUAUAAACUUUUUGAUAUUUUUGGGUGUUUUGUUACUUCUUGACAAUGAUAGUUAGUCUCAACUAGCAGAUGAAGAAGAAAGGACUUAAAACUCUGCUUUUCUCAGUUUAAAUUUAUUAAUUCGGUAUUAGUAUAGGGUCCAUGAUGAUCCUUUCCUGUGUGUAGAGGGUGGAUAGAUUGAUUGAAACUGGAGACAGUGAGCAUAUUUUUCAGAAAUCAAUCAUGUAGUAAGGAAGAGGGCAGGCUAUUCAGGUUUCGACAAUACGUGUGGUUCGAGUUAGUUUUUUUCUGCCUUCGUGCAUGCAGGUAAUAAAUAUUGGAUACACUAGCUGAGGUUCAGGAACGACAUGGCACUUUCAGAGGCUUAUAGAAGAAACUCCUCUACAUUGUAGUUAUAAGAAAAAUGAUGAAUCUGAAGGUGUCAAACAAAAUGCUGAUUAAAGAAUGCAUUUGAGAUCAGUAAGAGUUCAGGUGCUAUGUAUCGGAAGAGGUGGAAAAGCCUCAAAGCCAGACAAAAGGAAUGGUCUAUUACCUUUAGGGGGACAAGGCAAAUGUCACGAGCGCGUUUCACCAAAAUUCACAAGUACUGCUAGACUGAGCCCUUUACUUUUUAAUUUAAGGAUUACUCACACGAUAUACUUAUGGCCUUAAUAUGCAACAUUUUUUUUCCACCAAGAUGCAAGUCUAUAUUGGCAGUAGAGAGACCAGGAAGAGAGUCAUACAUUGGCAGUAGAGAGGAAUAAGAAAACAAGUUGGUGGACGCUAAAAGAGAUUGUCAUGUUGUACAUGAAGUCUAUUUUCAUGAAAUAUGACAAUAAUAGGAGGGGUGUCCUUUGGAUUUGGGAUUUUGGACGAGUACAUAGAAAAUGAGAAAGUAUGGCAUUUUUUCUUUGAAUAUUUUUUCGAAGAGCUCUUGAUUAAAUGGUGUGAACACUUAGCUUGAUUCUUUUGCCACCUAAUAUAUGCUACGUAUGACCUUCCUUCUUUAAGUUUGUCAUAUAAGUUGUGUAAGAAACACUAGCCAUAAGCCUAACUAAAAAAUUUCUAUAGGAAAAGGUAUUUUUAUAUUUUUCUAUAUUGUGUGGGUGGAAAGAAGUAAUUCGGUAUUUGUUUGAGUUUUUGUUUUUUCAAAACGCAGGAUUUUUUUUUGGUCGAUAACAUUUUAGUUAAUAAACUUUUUACAUAAUUUAUGCAUUUAAUAAUUUGUGUUAUAAUAUGUUUGGUGGAAAUACUGAGGUGAAGAGAAAGAUCAAGAAAUCUGUUGGUGCCGUAUGUUUAACCAAAUCUUUCUCUUCUUUUGAACAGAAAAGAAUAUUGAGCAUAUUUCAUAAGAAUCUUUUUUUUAAGCGAUACCUAUGGACUAUGGGGGUUUGAUGUAAUGCCUGCAGUGCGAAGACUGCAUUCAUCCAUCAUCUUCUUAAACUAAAUUGAUAUCAUUUGGUGCGACAGAAGCACCUUUUUCUUGGGCUUCUUUAGCAGUAGUAUAUUCUUCUAGCUUCAUACAAGCAGCGCUGCAAAUACAGAAUAGUGUACGAAGAUAUAUCAUGCUUCAACCAAAUUUAAAUAUAUCAUCAAAGUGUCAUCAUAUUAAAUACUGAGAGACGAUGACAAUAUCAUUCAUUCAUACCCUUUCCGAGGUUAGCUCUUGCCAGUAUGGGAUCUAAUUUGAUGGCUUUCUUAUCUGCAAAAGUUUCUGCUCAUGGGGAACAACAAUUAAGAAAUUCAGACGAACCCCUCUAGGAGACAACGUUUAAUCUGCUUUCGAUUAAAAUCAAAUCUUACCAUAUAAGAAGCAAAACCCAUGCAAAAUAUGAGUUUGACAAUGGCAAAGGGAGGAGAUAGACAUGUGGGGUUAGUAAACAGCCCAGCCCUUGGAGAAACCGUAGGCAACGAUAACCUGCAGCCUGAACAAUUUAAUUAUAAAUCAGUUUAUUAAAAUUUUAUAGUUUACUUAUUAUAAGACAUUUGAACAUUUAACUAAAGAAAUAACAUAAAAAAUAACUCUGAAAGUAUUUUUACAAUUUAAACCCUCAAAUUUUUUUGGCUAGCGCUUUUGACUUUUAGAUUGACAUUUAUAUCAUUAAAAUUCAAUUUAACUUAUUUGUUCAUCAAAUAAAAAAUUGACAUGUUGUACAAAUAAAAAUGAUGAUAUGUCAGUGAUUUUCCAAAAAAAUAAUUAUUUGAUUAUAAAAUAAAUAAAAUAAAAAUAAAAAUUUAGAAAAUUAAAUAAAAAUUAGAAAAC